rnacentral:rRNA from 1 species
UACGUAGGGGGCGAGCGUUGUCCGGAUUUAUUGGGCGUAAAGAGCUCGUAGGCGGUUCGAUAAGUCGGACGUGAAAUCUCCACGCUCAACGUGGAGGGGCCGUUCGAUACUGUCGUGACUCGAGUCCGGUAGGGGAGUGUGGAAUUCCCGGUGUAGCGGUGAAAUGCGCAGAGAUCGGGAGGAACACCGGUGGCGAAGGCGGGUCUCUGGGCAGUAACUGACGCUGAGGAGCGAAAGCGUGGGGAGCGAACAGG